UUUAUGCUCUGCGUUAGGGAUAGCAGCGUAAAUCCUGUCCCGCAAUCAGCGGGACAGAUUGUAGCGUAUAGCCCGACCGAAG
rnacentral:sRNA from 1 species